UAAGGACUGAGAUUUUUGCAGUGUAGCUAAACUCUCAGUUGACGAUGUUUUUGUGUGUAAUUUAAUUACAAAAGUACUCGUCAAGUUUCGGGCGAAAACGAGUUAAAACGGAAAUUCUACGCGAUUUCCAAGUUUCACUUAAAGUGAAUAGUAACUCGAUUUUCCGGAAAAGCCGCGGUGAGAAGUUGGCUUCUGGCUCGUACCGGACUCUGUUCAUAGCAGUCCAAUAGCUCGUUUCGACCGGGUCAGUUGUUCUGGAACCAAUGGCGCUGACGGAUUUUGAGUUUGACGCACGGAUUUCGAGAAAAUCCAAAAAUACAUGUUUUAUAUGUAUUUUUGUGUGUUUCUUUCGAUUGGAACGAAAGGUUGGAUUUUGUCGUGAAUCCGUGGUCGAUCGAGACGAAACGAAAUUGCAGCUUUGUUGUCUCUGUCGUGCUAAUCGUACUGGUGUGAUCCGUUCGCGAAUCUGACGAACGGAUCUGCGGAGAUCGCGCGUUGAUCGAGGAGAGGUCGGUAGUGGCAAAACGGUAUUUUCGCAAUAGUCGCGAUAUUUUAUGUACCGUUUCGCGAGGGAUCGCACGUGGAGGGGCGUUCAUGCGUUUUAGUCGUACCGUGUGGGACUCGGAUUGUAAUUCUGAUGUUUGGGGGACCUUUUUGCAUGUUGCACCUUACUUACAUAGGCUUUUUAGGGUUUUUACCUAGCCAACGUAACCCUAGCCUUGCCCUAGCUCCCUAGCCGCCUCCCCCACGUUCCCCUGCUCUCCCCGCGCGCGCCCUGGCCACCUGAGCUCGCCGCCGGCCGCCGGAGCUGGCUGCUCCAUCCAUUCUCCAUCUUCUUCCCUCUGUUUCUCUCUCCCUCUCUCCUCUCGGGUUGAGUGUAGGCCCGGGCUGCGCCUCCUGCAGACCCUCCCCCUGGAUUUCCCCGUGCCCGGGCGCCCCUUCCCGCCGGUCGCCGCCGCCCCGACGCGCCGCCGUCGCCGCCUCGGCCAGCCGCGGCCGCCCAGCCCGAGCCCAGGCUGUUGUUGUUUGCGGUCUCUUUCCCGCGCCGCCGCCGCUUGGGUCCGCACCCGAGGAGUCCCUCCGACCUCCUGCCACCCUCCUCCGCCGUCCCCGACCUUCUCCGGCCACCGCCGUGGCCGGAGAAACCCGCCGAGCCCGAGCUUCUCUCUUGCGGGCUCGAGUUGCUCCGCCGACGCCACCGCCGCUUCUCGUCGCCAACCGAGGUAAGCACGGUGUUCCUAACCUCCCCCGCACCCGCCCCUGGCCCCCGCGCGCGCCGCCGUGCCGCCGGAAGCCGGCCGGAGCAAGGUUGCUCCGGCCAAGCCCGAAAUAGGACUUUGUUUGGGGUGUUUGUUGUUCUGGGCUUUUCGAGCCUCCCCGACCUCUACGAAAGGGAGCACGAUGAUCCUGGCAAGUUGCUGAUCAUCGUGCUCACCUUGGUUUCUGUCGGGAAGGCCCCGUUUCGCUGUUUUGGCGAUGUCCCUCCGUUUCAGCCUUUUUGGCUACUGUUUCGGGUUUGUGCUUGUUUUUCCAGCGAUUCGAGGCUGUUCCGAUGCCUCCGGAGGUGAGCACGGUGACCGCUGGUCAGUGCUGAUCACAGUGCUCACCUCACUUUGGAUCAACAGUGUCCGGUCAGCCUGUUUGGCGCGAUCUUCCCCUACUGCGCGCUGUUCGCAGAACUUCGGGUUGCUCCCGCGCUUCCCACAGUGACCUGUUGCGCUCCAGACCGUGAGCACGGCCUCCGGCAUGUCGAGAACUAUCUGUACGUGUCUCAACAAAAUUUAGAAGUCCUCGGUUUAUGAGAACGAGUUAUAGAAGUCGCCAGAUUUACAUAAAAUGAUGGAUUUUAUGUAAACAUAGGGACUUUUAUGCAUUUGUACACCUUGUGCCUACUGUGGACAGUGUGUAUGAGUGUGUUUGACCUCUGGACUGAUUGCCCAUGAUCCAUUAGCUUUUGCGGAAAUCGAAGAGUCGAUUUUGGUGCGUUUUUCGGCGAAAUUCGCCGAAAGAACGCGGUUUCGGUUCGGAUUUCUUCCGACGUGGUUUGGUUGUCUUGUGUGUGGUCGCUGAGCCUUGUUGGCUAGUCACCAUCAUCAUUUUGUGGGUUCGGUGAUGAUGGGUGAGCGACGGUGGGUUCCGGUGUCGAAAUAGACACUUUCGGGAACUCGGAUUCGUACAAUUAUCCGGCGAUAAUUGUGUAGUGGUGUUAUCUUGUGUUUGCUGCCAAAACAUCCAAAUUGGAGUGUUUUGGGGCAGCAGGCGACUCGUGACACGAGUCGGUGAGUUUCGGGACACUUAGUGGGUCCCGACGGCGUCCCGGUAUGGUUUUUGGAUUUGGUGAGUUACAAGUAAUUGGUAUUGAGGAAACCGAUCUUACAUGAUAUAUUAUUUGUGGGUUGUAGCUCUGUGAUUAUUAGUUGUGAGGUUAAUCUAAGACCCGGUGGACCCUCUAUAGUCUCUGUCGACAUUCUUUUGCAGUCAUGGGUACAGACGCUACAUCCUUAAGGUUAGGUACUUCGACCGACAUCGGCUACAGUGGGGACGCUUGGUGAUGGUUCUUACCCUUACUUUCUGUAUGUACAUAUCGCAUCUAGGUUAUAUUGAGCUUGCACUUGUUUAUUCGUUAUACUCUACUCGUUGUUUGCUGGCUUUAGUUCCUGAGUAGGCGUAGAGUAGUUCUAUCUAAUGCGUAUCUGUUUUGACCUAGUUGGUUGGUUGUUGCAUUCCGUAUUGUGUUGAUCUAGUUGUUGAGUCCUGUGCAUUCCGUAUCUGUUACCUAGUUGGUCUGUUGUUGCAUUCUAGUAUCGGUUGAUUAGUGGUGGAUAUUGUUGUGCAUUCCGUAUCUUGUUGACAUGCUGGUUGGUCGUUUGUACUUCAUUCGGAACCUUGUUAGUCAUUGGACUCUGUGGCCUUGGUCCCAGCAACAGCAUGGACUGGGCUUGGGGCAUGUGUUUCGAUCUGGUUGAUCGUGGUUUGGCGUGCACGACCUUAUUUCUGGCUUCGAGCUAGGCACGACUUAGCGGGUUUCGUAUUGAGAACGAUCAGAUGAUUAGUCACAGCACUGUGGUAUUCUAGAACCUCAGGUUGUUUGGCCACAACAAAGAGGUGUACGUAUCCGAGCUGGUCGUCGGUGACGCUAUGAAAGAGCUCUUAGUGUUGUGUCUGUGACAGGCAACGCUUGGAGUCUGCGGAACCAAUAUAGCAACAUUCAGAGUGGGUUAAUUUGGACUGUAUCGUACUGGUUGACUGCAUAUAACUAUAGUAGCAGUGGUUGCUUGGUAGUAUCUUCAGUUCUUUCGUCUUGUCUUGCUAUAUAGCUUUGUUACAGUGCUAUACAUUUCAUUGGGCAUGUACAGUAGCGGUAGUUGUACUUUCUUUCAUUAUAUAUAUCUCUUCCAUUUUAUUAUUGACUACGUAUUUUAUACUGACUAGUAUCUGUUGUUUAGUCUCUUUCUGAUGCGGUGAGUAUCCCGCUUCAUCGGCUUGCGGACGGUACCACUGGAGAGGGACUGUUUAUGCUUCUCCUCCCCCACAUUUUUCAGAGUUAUUGCAGGACGCAUGAGGUUUGGACGAGACGUGAGUACGUUCGUAGGCGGUUCGGCAUAGAGUUCCGACCCAGUUAUGAUUCUCAGUUUUAUUCCUUUACUUUCUGUUGUUAUACUUAGUGUAGUUAUUAUGUUCAGAUUAGCAUGAUCAUAUGAUGUUUGAAGGUUGUGAGCUGAUGUUAAAUUUGUGGAUUUGUGGAAUUGUGGAUUUGGUUUAGAGAUCUUCAGUUUUGGGAUGUUUGUAUACUUUGGUGGUUCUCGGAUUCUGUUUAUUUAUGAUUUACGCAUCGUGUGUUUAUCCCCUCGAGGUAGUGAAGUUGUCCAAAAUAGAAUUUCCGUUCGUCUGAAACAGUUUCAAAAAGAUUUUGAAUGAUAUGUUCAUGUUGGAAAUUGAAUUAGAUAUUUAAAAACAAAAGCUUCCGUGUGGGAGCACUUGUAAAUAGAGAUGAUUGUUGUACGAAAUACUACUUGUGCAUUGCAUCAAUCCAAGCGCUAAGAGAUGUGUUGUAGAGGCGAUGCAUCAUCUCUUAAAGGAUUGGUUGCUGUAUGAAAUGUUCAUGAAUUGUGUUGCUGAUUGAAUGUAGUUAUGGUUGUGAACCCUGUUGCUAUCGUUGGUUAGCCGAUGCAAAUACAAGGAGCUCCUGUCGACUUCGUGAACACAUGGAGCUUUGCUAUUUGUGUGCGGUCUGAUACGGUCACGUGCGGCCCAGGUUGGAGCGGGAAAAAAAAAAAAAAAAAAAAAAAAAAAAAAAAAAAAAAAAAGGUCAUAUCUUCCGCGACUCUGAGAUUUCAAAAUGGUAAUGGCUUUUAAAAUCGGCCCCCGGGCGUGACACUAACAUGUCCGACAGUGAAAUCAAAAUUUUUAAAAAAUAGUUGGUCGGAUCAAAAUUCGUAAUCGUUCAGAUAAAUUUCAUACAAUUUUGCACCUUCAUUUUAUUUGCUCCUGAUCGAGCUAUGAAUGAUGAGUCUACCAGUCUGUUCAAUUUACGGGGCACCGCACUGACCGCCUGCAGUUCAGUUUCCCGGAUCCAUAAAUAAAGAACAGUUACAACUACUCUACUCCAUGAGGAGGGAGGACAACUUGGCAGGCUAAUCGUCUUCUCAUCUCUCUUCUUCAGCCGAUAAAUCAUCAUUCCCAUAAUAUAUAUAUAGAGGAUAUAUAACAGCUUCUUUAAUAAAUCUCCAAAGGUCAAUUUGAAAUGCCUUUUUUGUCUUUUUCAAUUACAGAUUAGAGUUGGAGUGAGUGUAUGUAUUAAAAUAAAAAAAAUAAAGGGCAAACACCCGUCAAUACCAAAAAAAAAAAAGGCCUACUGGCUGAAGCAGGAGACAGAAAAUAGAAAUGCGAAUACGAACCUCGAAAGACAAGAUCUAAGACAAACAAUGCUUUCAAUUUUACCGUAUAAAGAAUUACGGAACUAUGGACUUUUACAAAAAGAUUCAAAUAUUUCGACUUUGGAUAGACUUUGAGAUUUUCUAAAAAUACUAUAAUCGCGGAUCGCUUGGCCAAUUGGAGACUCGCAAGCAAAAAUGCUUUCUGUUUGGUCUUCCAUUGAUAACUUUACUCAGCCCGUACCCUUGAUUAAUUAAAUAAAGCUUUAGAGUGUGUUUUCCCAAAAAAAAAAAAAAAAAAAAAAAAAAGAAAAAAGAAAAAAGAAAAAAGAAAUGAAAAAUCAAUUGAGAAUGUAUAAUAAGUAUGAUGUUUCUUUCAGCAAUGCUCUCUAGAUAGCACUUACGCAAAUACAAAAAGAGCUAAUAGAUUUUGAGUUUCUCUCUCUCUCUCAAUUAUUAAUCAGGAAAAUAUCCAGACACUGAUUUGAUUACCUCCUUGCCUUUCGGAUUAAUCACAGCCCGCAUUAACAAGCCAUGAAAAUCUGUUUGUACUAGUCUGAACACACAAUUAGGGCCUGUUUGGAUGCACAGUAAAAAAAUCUUCACGGAAUUUAUAAAUUGUGGUUUUGGUCCAAAUGAAAUAGAGAAUCUGUAACUCUAAAAAAAUUCCACGAAUUCAAUUUUUAGACUAUUUGGAUGCCCAUUGUGCAAUUUCACGGUAUUUCUCUAAAUUUUAAAAUUAAAAGUUAAAAUCUCAAAUCUCAAAUUUCAAAUUUCAAAUUUCAAAUUUCAAUGAAAUUUAAAAUUUAAAAUUUAAUAUGUGAAAUGCAAAAUUUUAAAUUAUAAAAUUUAAAUUUUUAAAAUUAAAAAUUUAAAUAUAAAAAUCUAAAUUUAAUUUUAAAAUUUUGAAAUUUAAAAUUUUAAAAUUUUAAAAUUAAAAAAUAAAUUUAAAAUUUAAAGUUCAAAUUUCAAAUUUCAAAUUUGAACUAUGAGAUUUGAGAUUUGAAAUUUCAAAUUUGAAAUUUAAAAUUUAAAAUGUAAAAUUUAAAACAUAAAAGUGAAAAUUUAAAGUUUGAAAUUUGAAAUUUGACAUUUAAAAUUUAAAAUUUAAAAUUUGAAAUUUGAAAUUUAAAAAUUAAAACGUGAAAUUUAAAAUUUAGAAUUUAAAUUUUGAAGUUUAAAAUUUGAUAUUUGAAAUUUAAAAUUUAAAAUUUGAAUUUUGAAAACUAAAAUUUAAAAUGAAAUUUGAAAUUUGAAAUUUGAAAUUUGAAAUUUGAAAUUUAAAAAUUAAAUUUGAAAAUAAAAAAAUUUAGAAUUAAAUAUUGAAAUUAUAAAUUAAAAAAAUUAAAAAUUAAAAAUUAUUAUUUUUAAACUAAAAUUUAAAAUUUGAUAUUCGAAAAAUAAAAUUUGAAUUUAUGAAAUUAAAAAAUUUAAAAUUUAAAAUUUGACAUUUAAAUUUUGAAAUUAUAAAAUUUAAUUUUUGAUAUUUCAAAUUUAAAAUUCAAAUUUUAAAUUUGAAUUUAAGAAUUUGAAUAUAAAUUAAAUUGUAAAAUUUAAAAUUUAAAAUUUGAAAUCUAAGUUGAAAUUUAAAAUUUCAUGUUGAAAUUUAAAAGUUAGAACUUGAUGCAUCUUUGAAUUUUUUUUCUUUGGUUAGAGUCCUCCAUCACAGAAAGUUUCCUCUUAAAAUCAAAACAUGCGACCCGUCCCGUCGCUGAGUUCAUAAGAUCAGUAGUAGAACGGAAGUUGGGAGAUAGGAAAAUUAAUUAAUUGAACAGUGUAGUCACAAUGUUUACAUGCUAAUUAUAUACUCUCAAACAAUUUCGCCAACCUGAGUUUGAGUACUUGACUAAUCAAUUAGAUCAAAAAUUCCAUCUCGCUGGAUAGAGACCCUAUUUCUUGCUCAUGAAUAAUAAUCGAGCUAUUUUUAUACAGGACCUUACGACGCUCAUCUCACUCGCAUGAUAUAGCUCUCAACGCAGAAUUUAACCAUUUCCACACUAGCUACCUGAAACUACCAUCAAGCACAAAGAUCGAUCAAUACCUAUAAUUAAUAAUCGCAGUAAUAAAUACUGUAUAAGGCUCUCUUCUCAUGCAUGCAGAGCUCAGGUCCUCCUUUCAUAUAAUGAAUCAAAAUCACCUCGGUCCAGACAGCUCCAUUGCUUGAACCAACAAUGAGGAAUCGUCGGUCAGGUCGGAGUACCGCUCGGAGGAGGACGAGAACUCGGGCAUUUUGAACUUGUGCGGCUCGGCUCGUUGGGAGGCUUCCCACUUUUCCGCAAGACCGUCGCCUUCUAGCAUGCGGAUCACCUCGGACAUUUUAGGCCUGUGGCCUGGCAGAUAUUGGGUGCAUAGGAGCGCCACUUGGACCAUCUCCUCGAGCUCGAUCUGAUCAUAGAUGUGCUUCAGGUCCUUGUCCACUAGCAUAUCAAGCUUCUUUUCUUGGUGUACUUUUCUUACCUGAACAACAACGGAAAGACAUGCCUUAUUUACUAAUAUGCACAUGGCCCUAACCAAAGCUUUGGUACCAGUCUCUUCUUUGGGUAGAGCUAAUGGAACAACAAGCCCUAGUUCUUUUCAUAAUAAAUAAUCCUCCCGAUAGCUCCUUGGGGAAGCUCGAAGCAAAAGCUUUUCAAAUUCAGGCAUCUUAGGGGCCCAAAAUGCUCAUUUUGACACAUCGGUCUAGCGAGAAUAUUUUCACAUGUCGAAUGCUUGGAUUCUACUUCUAAACUGGAGAAGUUGUUCCAAACGGCCGUCAAAACCAUCUUCUUCCAAUAUGUCAGGAGAUUGAUAUAUAUAUAUAUAUAUAUAUAUGCCGUUGGUCAGUUGUUAAGUUAGAGGAUAAAAAUCUCUCAUUUCGAGAGUGAUGUUAAACAGAGCAGCAAUUGCUAUUUACAAAGCAGGUAAAUUAAAGUUUACUAUAAAUUCGGUUAUUGUACUCUGUACACAUGGCAGAGCUGGCCCUAGAAAUUUCUACUCUAUUGGCUUUGCUAAACGCAGAGAUAAGUCUUAAUAGUUAUUUAGCGCUUACCCAUUCAAGCAUGGCUCCUUUCUGGUUAGCUGCCUUCCCGAAUUCCACUGCCGUCAAACCAGUAAUCAGCUCCAGAAGUAGGAUGCCAAAUCCAAACACAUCAGUUUUUUCCGAGGAUUGGCCAGUGGAAAGAUACUCGGGAGCAAUGUGGCCGACAGUCCCGCGCACAGCAGUGGUGACGUGUGACUCUCUAUGGUCAAGAAGCUUGGCAAGGCCAAAGUCCCCCACCACGGCCUCACAAUAGUCGUCUAACAAUAUAUUUGCGGCCUUCACAUCCCUGUGAAUGAUCUUGGGAUCACAUUGCUCAUGUAGAUAUAGUAGGCCCCUUGCAGCCCCCAGGGCUAUUCUCUUUCUUGUACCCCAAUCCAAUGCUGGUUUAGCUGUAUUAGCAACAGAAGAAUGAAAGAGGCAGUAUUCCUAUACAUCACCUUGCCUUCCAUUAAACUAUUUUAGUAAAAAAAAAAAAAAAAUCACCAACAAAAGAGUACUAUUCCACUCUAAUACUCAGUUAAUGAUGAAGGUAGAGUUGCUAAGUUUCUAAUUAUUUUUUAAGAUCAUGUCCCCUCCUUAGGUGUGAAACUAGAGAAUACAACUAAUUUUUCUUUACAGCAUGUGUGACCUACGCUAUUUUGUGUUGCUUUAUUAAUUUUACGGCAUAUCCACUAUUUGACCUUUAGUUAUAACAAGCCUAAAAUUGCUCAACAUAAAGAACAAGAGGUUUGUCCAUAACAAAUCAGUAUUAUAUGAGAUUCCAUAUAUAUAUAUAGUAUGUCUCUUACGCUUUCGUAAGCACGGAGGCCUCCGUGCUUAUAAACUGUUUUCAACGAUAGGACUUCCGAUUGGACGUUAAGCUCCAUUAGACAUAAUCUAUACUAUCAUUUAGAAAUGAAAUUUCAUAAUUUUUCAAUAUCAUUUACUAAAGUGAUUAAAGAUAUGAGAAAUGACUAUUUCUAACGGCCGAUGUGGCACGUUUGUAAGUUCAACGGUCGAGAACAAUCCAAAUUACAUGAAACUUUAAUAGGAAAUUCUACUUUAAUGUCAAAAGCAUAAUCAAUACUUCCGAUUUGAAAUUUGAGCCUUUCAUCACUACUUUUUAUGAGAUUUUUAUUUUCAGCCAUUCAUUUUAAGGCUACUCUUUCACCAGACAAACAAAGUCAAAAAAUUAUGAAAUUUGAUUUCUAAAUAGUUCCAACACUGUAUAUCACGUUUUACAGACCAAUCGUCGAAUUGGAUAUCCUAUCAUCGAAAAUAACUUACAAGCACAGAGGCAUCAGUACUUUCGAAAAUAUAAUAGCCUAACUGUAUAUAGCUAGGCUAUUGUGCUCUCAAAGUGCAAAGGCCUUCAUACUUGUACGUUGUUUUCGAUGAUGGGAUAUACGAUUCGGCGAUCGAUUUUGUUAGAUAUGAUCUUUAGUGUUGGAACUAUCUAAAAAACCAAAUUUCAUAAUUUAUUGACUUCAUUUUUUUAGUGAACGAGCAGACUCACAAUGAAGGGUUGAAAAUAAAAAUCUCAUAAAAAUAAUGAUAAAAGACUUAAAUUUUAAAUCGGAAAUAUUGAUAUUGCUCUUGAUGGUAAGUAGAAUUUUAUUAAAUUUUCACCUAAUUUGGAUUGUUCUACACCGUUGAACUUACAAACGUGCCACAUCGGCCAUUAAAAUAGUCAUUUUUGAGAUCCUUUGAUCACAUGGUAUAUUAUGUUGAAAAAUUGUGAAAUUUGGUUUCUAAAUAGUUCUAAUAGCGUAGAUCAUGUCUAAUGGAGUCAAUCGUCCAAUUGGGUGUCCUAUCACCGAAAACAACUUACAAGCACGAAGGACUCCGUGCUUUCAACUUGUUUUCAAUGAUGGGACAUCUGACGCCACAUCGCCAGUUAAAAUAGUCAUUUUUAGACCCUUUGAUCCUUUGGCAAAUGGUAUCAAAACAUUAUAAAAUUUUGUUUGAGACAGUUCUAAUAGCAUAAUUUAUGCCUAAUGUCAAAAAUAUUUCCUCAUCGAUAACAACUUGAAAGCAUGGAGGCUCUCGUACUUUCAAAAGCAUGGUAGACGUACUCAUAUAUAUAUAUAGAGAGAGAGAGUACGUCUCCCGUGCUUUCGAAAGUACGAAGGCAUCCGUGCUUGUAAGUUGUUUUCGAUGAUAGGACAUCCGAUUCGACAAUCGGCUCCGUUAGGCAUAAUCUAUGCUAUUGGAACUAUCUAGAAACCAAAUUUUAUAAUUUUUCGACAUCAUUUACCAAGCAAUCACAGGGUCUCAAAAUUGACUAUUUUAACGGCCAAUGUGGCACAUUUUUAAGUUCAACGUUGUAGAAAUAUCCAAAUUACAUGAAACUUUAAUAGAAAAUUCUACUUAACAUCAAGAGUAAGAACAAUACUUCCAAUUUGAAAUUUGAGUCCUUUAUCACUAAUUUUUAUGAGAUUUUUAUUUUCGAUCGUUCAUUUUGAGGCUACUCGUUCACUAGGCAAACAAAGUCAAAAAAUUAUGAAAUUUGGUUUCUAAAUAGUUCCAAUAGCGUAGAUCAUGUCUAACGAAACCGAUCGCCGAAUCGGACGUCCCAUCAUCGAAAACAACUUACAAGCACAGAGGCCUCCGUACUUUCAAAAGCAUAGGAGCCUAGCUCUCUCUCUCUCUCUCUCUCUCUCUCUCUCUAUAUAUAUAUAUAUAUAUAGAUAUAUAUACAUAUAUACAUAUAUAAAUAUACAUAUAUACAUAUGUAUAUAUACAUACAUAUAUAAAUAUACAUAUAUAUACAUAUAUAUAUAUACAUGUAUAUAUAUAUAUAUAGAGAGAUAGAGAGAGAGAGAGAGAUAUACUCUUAUGAGUAUUGAGCGCUUCGUACUCAUAUGUUGUUUCGAUGAUAGAGCUUCCGCAUCGAUGAUCCAUACUGUUAAAUAUGAUCUAGAGUAUUUAAAAUUUCUAGAAAAUAAAUUUCGUAAUUUUCAAAAUUAUAAAAUAAAGUCCAGCAGGCAUAAAAUGAGCGGUCAAAAUAGAACGACUUCCUAAAAGUAGAGGAUCGGACACUUCAAUUUAGGAUUAGAGCUAUUGAUCUUUGUCUAGAAAGUGAUUUAAAAUUUUCUAUAAAAAAUUCAACCGAUUUUGAUUCUUUUACACUGUUAAACUAGCAAGUAUCCCAUACCGACCGUUAAAAAUUGUCAAUUUGAGAUCUUUGAUUGUAAGGUAAAUAAUAUCGAAAAAUUAUAAAAUUUGUUUUCUAGAAGUUUCAAAUUCUUUAAAUAAUGCUUAAUGGUAUGUAUCGUCGAUUCGGAAACUCUAUCAUCGAAAACGACUUAUGAGUAUGAAGGCGAUCGUACCCAUAAGGGUAUAAUAGCCGGAGUCCAU
rnacentral:lncRNA from 1 species